rnacentral:rRNA from 1 species
GACGAACGCUGGCGGCGUGCUUAACACAUGCAAGUCGAACGAUGAACUUGGAGCUUGCUCUGGGGGAUUAGUGGCGAACGGGUGAGUAACACGUGAGUAACCUGCCCUGGACUCUGGGAUAACUUCGAGAAAUCGGAGCUAAUACCGGAUAGGACCUUGCACCGCAUGGUGUGGGGUGGAAAGUUUUUCGGUUUGGGAUGGACUCGCGGCCUAUCAGCUUGUUGGUGAGGUAAUGGCUCACCAAGGCGUCGACGGGUAGCCGGCCUGAGAGGGUGACCGGCCACACUGGGACUGAGACACGGCCCAGACUCCUACGUGAGGCAGCAGUGGGGAAUAUUGCACAAUGGGCGCAAGCCUGAUGCAGCAACGCCGCGUGCGGGAUGACGGCCUUCGGGUUGUAAACCGCUUUUAGUAGGGAAGAAGCCUUCGGGUGACGGUACCUGCAGAAAAAGGACCGGCUAACUACGUGCCAGCAGCCGCUGUAACAC